rnacentral:rRNA from 1 species
UAAAGAGCUCGUAGGUGUUAGAUACGUCAGAUGUGAAAAUCAGGGCUCAACCCGUGACCUGCAUCCGAUACGUCGGGCUAGAGUUUGGUAGGGGAGACUGGAAUUCGUGUGUAGCAGUGGAAUGCGCAGAUAUCAGGAGGAACACCGAUGGCGAAGGCAUGUCUCUGGCCAAUACUGACACUGAGGAGCGAAAGCGUGGGGAGCGAACAGGAUUAGAUACCCUGGUAGUCCACGCCGUAAACGAUGGGCGCUAGUUGUGCGUCCUUCCACGGCAGUGCGACGCAGCUAACGCAUUAAGCGCNCCGCGUGAGGAGUACGAUCGCAAGAUUAAAACUCAAAGGAAUUGACGGGGCCCCCCACAAGCAGCGGAGCAUGCGGAUUAAUUUGACGCAACGAGAAGAUCCUUCCCAAGGCUUAACAUAUACAGGAAUAUGGCAGAGAUGUCAUAUCCGCAAGGUCUGUAUACACGUGGUGCAUGGUUGUCUUCAGCUCGUGUCUUGAGAUGUUGGGUUAAGUCUCGCAACGAGCGCAACCCUCGUUUCGUGUUGCCAGCAUUAAGUUGGGGACUCACAGGAGACUGCCGGGGUUAACUCGGAGGAAGGUGGGGAUGACGUCAAAUCAUCAUGCCCCUUAUGUCUUGGGCUGCACGCAUUCUACAAUGGCUGGUACAAACGGGUGCGAUACCCCAAGGUGGAGCGAAUCCGAUAAAACCAGUCUCAGUUCGGAUUGGGGUCUGCAACUCGACCCCAUGAAGUUGGAGUUGCUAGUAAUCGUAGAUCAGCAACGUUACGGUGAAUACGUUCCCGGGUCUUGUACACACCGCCCGUCACAUCACGAAAGUCGGUUACACCCAAAGUCAGUGGCCCAACCGUAAGGAGGGAGCUGCCAAAGGCGGGAUCGGUGAUUGGGAUGAAGUCGUAACAAGGUA